rnacentral:rRNA from 1 species
GAUGAACGCUGGCGGCGUGCCUAAUACAUGCAAGUCGAACGGAGAGCUAGCAAUAGUUCUUAGUGGCGAACGGGUGAGUAACGCGUUGGUGACCUGCCCCGAAGAGAGGGAUAACAGUUCGAAAGGACUGCUAAUACCGCAUAAUAUCUACCGGGUUAGAGGCUGGUAGAUGAAAGGAGCAAUCCGCUUUGGGAGGGACCUGCGUCCCAUCAGCUAGUUGGUAGGGUAAAAGCCUACCAAGGCGACGACGGGUAGGGGACCUGAGAGGGUGAUCCCCCACACUGGCACUGAAACACGGGCCAGACACCUACGGGUGGCUG